GUACAUAAUUAGGAGAGAAUCCAGUCAAUUUUCUAAAUAAAACUUUUUUAGAAAAAAAAUAUAUAUAUUCUUUCUGUGGUGUGACUCGGUACAAAAUGGCCCAUGGGCCGGUACCAGUCCGCAGCCCGGUGGUUGGGGACCACUGUUCUAGGGUAUGUGACACUGUGAUAUUACAGCUGAAAUGUUAGGUGAGGUUGCCUCAGAAUCUAUUUUCACGACAACCCAGACCCUGAAUUAAACGAGGAAUAAAUCUGCUAAAAUAUUUGAUGGUAUGUGGAAAGUAAAUGUUUGUGCAGGGAUUGUACAAUGCAGGGCAAUACAAAUAUGCAAUAACCACUUUGCUUGUUGAAUAAUUUGCAUUCCCACCACACCCUCAGAGGACAAAUGUUUUAUUUAUGUCUUCUAUAUUGUAUCCCAACUAAGCCCCCCAAAAGAAAUCUAGUGACCCCAUUCAUCAAAACUAUCCUUUUAUCACAGCUACUGACAUUUUUCAUUAAGUAUUAACAGAAAGUUAGCAAUGUUAAGAGGUUUGUGUUGCUGUCAAAAUAUUUUUAUGCUUCUUUUCGCUGCCCAUAAAACAUUGUCUAACCAAUGGUUAUGUAUUACUUUUUAAAUGUUAGGACUUAAACACAUUAAACAAGGAUACAAUAGAGUAGUCUUUUAAUUCAAUGUAUUUGGAGGAGCCCGGUUAGUUUGAUUUUGCAGAAGUCAGGGCCUUAAAUAACACGUUCUAAAAAGGUAUACCACUCAUUUUAAGAAGUUACCUGUGCUAGGUACGUCUAGUCCUCGUGGUCAACAACAGAAGAACUAUCAGUAGUUUAUGAUUAAUUUAUAGAAACAAGUUUCUAAUUGUUACAACAUUGUAGAAUCCUCUUUAAAUAUAGAAUUGACUUAAUGAUUUUAUUCAUACAGUUACAAUUUGCUACCGUUAACUAUAAACUGGCCACCAAAGGUUUUUGCCAUGGAAAAUGUUAGUCAUUAAAAUGUUCUUGGAGUAUAGGUUUUGAAAUUAGG
ensembl:lncRNA